AUUGAACGCUGGCGGCAGGCCUAACACAUGCAAGUCGAGCGGAUGAAGGGAGCUUGCUCCUGGAUUCAGCGGCGGACGGGUGAGUAAUGCCUAGGAAUCUGCCUGGUAGUGGGGGAUAACGUCCGGAAACGGGCGCUAAUACCGCAUACGUCCUGAGGGAGAAAGUGGGGGAUCUUCGGACCUCACGCUAUCAGAUGAGCCUAGGUCGGAUUAGCUAGUUGGUGGGGUAAAGGCCUACCAAGGCGACGAUCCGUAACUGGUCUGAGGGGAUGAUCAGUCACACUGGAACUGAGACACGGUCCAGACUCCUACGGGAGGCAGCUGUGGGGAAUAUUGGACAAUGGGCGAAAGCCUGAUCCAGCCAUGCCGCGUGUGUGAAGAAGGUCUUCGGAUUGUAAAGCACUUUAAGUUGGGAGGAAGGGCAGUAAGUUAAUACCUUGCUGUUUUGACGUUACCAACAGAAUAAGCACCGGCUAACUUCGUG
rnacentral:rRNA from 1 species